rfam:Asian citrus Psyllid, Diaphorina citri - Florida Strain, whole genome shotgun sequence.
GCCUAGUUAGCGUAGUUGGUAGUGCGUCUGCCUUGUAAGCGUUAGGCCGCGGUUUCGAUUCCCGCCCGGGGCG